GGAGGCUGGGUGUGCGCCGGGCAAGGCUGUCUGCGUCCUAAUCCCCAGAACCUGGGAAUGGGGCAAAAGGGGCUCUGUAGACUUGAUUAAGUUAGGGGUGUUGAGGUGUGAAAUGGUCCUGGAGUAUCCGGCUGGACCCGAGGUGAUCACAAGCAUCCUCGCAGGCCAUCAGGAGGCGGAACGGGGAAGGACGAGAGAGACCGCAGUGUGCGAAGGGCCCCACCCCACACUGCUGGCUUUGACGACGGAGGAAGGCACCAGGAGCCAGGGGAGGUAGAAGCUGGAAAAGGCAGAAAAACAUUCUUUCCCAGACCUCCAGAGAGGAAUGCACUCCUGCUGAACUUUGAUUUUAGCCUGUUUGGGACUUCUGACCUCCAGAAGUGUUAAAAUAAUAAAUUUGUGUUAUUUUAAGCCACGACAUUUGUGAUAAUUUUUUAUAGCAGCCAUGGGAGACUAAUACAGUUAUAAACUCACUUGUGAUGCUUUGGUGUCAUUUUCCGUGCGGGCACGCCCUGGGAACCCUCGUGGACUCACGCACAUCUCGUACACAGCUCUGACAGAGGACCUCCCUCCCCAAGUCCAUAGCAGGACUAUCUGCCUCGAGACAUCCUCGACAACCACAGGAAGUGACUCAGUGCCGGACUUGUUAUGGCUACUGUCCCCUAUCCCAACCGCGGUGACUCUAGCCCUGUAGAACACUCUUCAACCGAGGCACCAUCGCGAGGGCACACACCAAGGCUGCGUAACUGUGACUCCAUCGCUGGGGUGCUUCAUAGCUGCUCCACUGAGCCCAAAGGUAUUGCUUUCCUACUCUCCUGCGUGAUCACCUCUCAACCAUGGGCAUUAAUGGAGAGAAGCAGGCUUCCAGAAGAGCGGGAAUCAGACGAGCUAAUUUGUAGCAAAGUGCUUUACAGACUGAAAAUCAAUAAAGGAGUAAAGUUUUUCUCAGAGCAGACGCUCUCCUGACUGACUCGUGGGCAACUGCCACUCCCCAUUCCUUCUGCCAGACACACGGAAGGGCGAUCGCGACACCCCCGGUGCUGGGAGGUCACGGCUCCUGCUCAGAACAGCAGCACUGGGGGUGGCCCCCCCGCUUUCCAAAAGCCAGCUGCUUCUGCUCCCAAAUCUGUUCAUGCCAGGCGUAUUUAGCAUCUAAAUUACCUAAUUAAAUAUUAUGUAAACUGGUAAAGAGUGCAAAAAAAAAGUCAUUCCCACAAAAUAAAAGUACAAGCUUUAGAAAGAAUUGAUAAAAUCAAGUCUCAAAUUUUGCUUUUGAAUUGGGUACAAUUAAGUCAGGUUGGGGAAAAAAAAAGUACAAGUAGAGGUUUAUAAACGGUAUUCUUUGUCAGAGCUCACUUAAAAAAUCAAAACGGAAAUCACAUGAUCAUAUGGGUGUGAUAUUUGCUAGAAAGGCAGCAAGGAGCUCCAGUAUAUGUCUAGGCCCUAUAUGGAAAGAUGGGUCAUAAAUUUACAUUUGUAGAUUCUAAUUUAAAGCAAAACAAUUAAGACAGGGGAUAACUUUUCCCCCUCAACAUCAUCCAAAAUCUCCCACCACUCCACAGAGACACCAGCAGUAUCUGAAAAGAAGGCGGUUCAUUGGUCAUGGAAGGUUAGUGUAAGGCCAGGAAGGAGAUGGCCCCGGGGGCUGUGGCCUGUGAUCUCGCCCUAAAAUUAGCAAACAAAACAGAGUGUUGGCGCCAGGCUUUCCCCAACUAGCCCUGAAGUCUCCUGG
ensembl:lincRNA